CGCAGUCGAUGCAGCGCUGUUUUCAGCCAGUCGGGGCACGCAGGCGGUUUCUUAGUCUGAUGUGAAAGCCCCCGGCUCAACCGGGGAGGGUCAUUGGAAACUGGGGAACUUGAGUGCAGAAGAGGAGAGUGGAAUUCCACGUGUAGCGGUGAAAUGCGUAGAGAUGUGGAGGAACACCAGUGGCGAAGGCGACUCUCUGGUCUGUAACUGACGCUGAGGAGCGAAAGCGUGGGGAGCGAACAGGAUUAGAUACCCUGGUAGUCCACGCCGUAAACGAUGAGUGCUAAGUGUUAGGGGGUUUCCGCCCCUUAGUGCUGCAGCUAACGCAUUAAGCACUCCGCCUGGGGAGUACGGUCGCAAGACUGAAACUCAAAGGAAUUGACGGGGGCCCGCACAAGCGGUGGAACAUGUGGUUUAAUUCGAAGCAACGCGAAGAACCUUACCAGGUCUUGACAUCCUCUGACAAUCCUAUAGAUAGGACGUCCCCUUCCGGGGCAGAGUGACAGGUGGUGCAUGGUUGUCGGCCGCUCGUGUCCUGAGAUGUUGGGUUAAGUCCCGGAACGAGCGCAAAACGAUAGCACCACCUGUCACUC
rnacentral:rRNA from 1 species